rnacentral:lncRNA from 1 species
AGCAUGUAUAAGUUUACUACAAUUCAGACCAAAAAAGAGUAUCUUAAUUUAGCUAUUUGUAAGGGUACCUCUGUAGCUUGUCUUCCUAAGGUUUUGUUUUUUGUUCUCGUAGCCCAUAGGGGUUUAAGUCUGACCAGCUUACCCUGGCAUUUCUUUAUUUUUCUCAGUGGAAUUGUCUACAGUUGAGCCAGGAGACAUUCCUCUUUGGGACAUCCUAGUAGAAUGGCAUAGUCUGUCUUCUGAGUUGAUAGAAGAGGAUGGAAGACUCCUUUAGUACUCUGAGAAAGACUGAUUUCUUUUUUCAGGACCAGGUUUGCCAUUUGGCCUAUAUACACCCAUAUUGCUUCCCACUCUUUUCUUCCAGUACCGAGGUCAAGCCACUGAUUGUAUUCUUAGAAUUAAAAAG